rnacentral:rRNA from 1 species
GAUGAACGCUGGCGGCGUGCCUAAUACAUGCAAGUCGAGCGAACGGACGAGAAGCUUGCUUCUCUGAUGUUAGCGGCGGACGGGUGAGUAACACGUGGAUAACCUACCUAUAAGACUGGGAUAACUUCGGGAAACCGGAGCUAAUACCGGAUAAUAUUUUGAACCGCAUGGUUCAAAAGUGAAAGACGGUCUUGCUGUCACUUAUAGAUGGAUCCGCGCUGCAUUAGGUAGUUGGUAAGGUAACGGGUUACCAAGGCAACGAGGCAUAGCCGACCUGAGAGGGUGAUCGGCGACACUGGAACGGAGACAGGCUCCAGACUCCUACGGGAGGCAGCAGUAGGGAAUCUUCCGCAGUGGGCGGAAGCCUGACGGAACAACGCCGCGUGAGUGAUGACGGUCUUCGGAUCGUAAAGCUCUGUUAUUAGGGAAGAACAUAUGUGUAAGUAACUGUGCACAUAUUGACGGUACCUAAUCAGAAAGCCACGGCUAACUACGUG